rnacentral:rRNA from 1 species
GAUGAACGCUGGCUACAGGCUUAACACAUGCAAGUCGAGGGGAAACGACGGGGAAGCUUGCUUCCCCGGGCGUCGACCGGCGCACGGGUGAGUAACGCGUAUCCAACCUGCCUCUGACUGAGGGAUAACCCGUCGAAAGUCGGCCUAAUACCUCAUGGCAUCGUCUGCGGGCAUCCAACGACGAUUAAAGAUUUCAUCGGUCAGGGAUGGGGAUGCGUCUGAUUAGCUUGUUGGCGGGGUAACGGCCCACCAAGGCGACGAUCAGUAGGGGUUCUGAGAGGAAGGUCCCCCACAUUGGAACUGAGACACGGUCCAAACUCCUACGGGAGGCAGCAGUGAGGAAUAUUGGUCAAUGGGCGAGAGCCUGAACCAGCCAAGUAGCGUGCAGGAUGACGGCCCUAUGGGUUGUAAACUGCUUUUAUGCGGGGAUAAAGUGAGGGAACGUGUCCUUCCAUUG